AUUGAACGCUGGCGGCAGGCCUAACACAUGCAAGUCGGACAGUAGCACAGGGAGCUUGCUCUCGGGUGACGAGUGGCGGACGGGUGAGUAAUGUCUGGGGAUCUGCCCGAUAGAGGGGGAUAACCACUGGAAACGGUGGCUAAUACCGCAUAACGUCGCAAGACCAAAGAGGGGGACCUUCGGGCCUCUCACUAUCGGAUGUACCCAGAUGGGAUUAGCUAGUAGGCGGGGUAACGGCCCACCUAGGCGACGAUCCCUAGCUGGUCUGAGAGGAUGACCAGCCACACUGGAACUGAGACACGGUCCAGACUCCUACGGGAGGCAGCAGUGGGGAAUAUUGCACAAUGGGCGCAAGCCUGACGCAGCCAUGCCGCGUGUAUGAAGAAGGCCUUCGGGUUGUAAAGUACUUUCAGCGGGGAGGAAGGCGAUGUGGUUAAUAACCGCAUUGAUUGACGUUACCCGCAGAAGAAGCACCGGCUAACUCCGUGCCAGCCGCCGCGGUAA
rnacentral:rRNA from 1 species